AUUGAACGCUGGCGGCAGGCCUAACACAUGCAAGUCGAACGGUAACAGAAAGCAGCUUGCUGCUUUGCUGACGAGUGGCGGACGGGUGAGUAAUGUCUGGGAAACUGCCUGAUGGGGGGGGAUAACUACUGGAAACGGUAGCUAAUACCGCAUAACGUCGCAAGACCAAAGAGGGGGACCUUCGGGCCUCUUGCCAUCGGAUGUGCCCAGAUGGGAUUAGCUAGUAGGUGGGGUAACGGCUCACCUAGGCGACGAUCCCUAGCUGGUCUGAGAGGAUGACCAGCCACACUGUAACUGAGACACGGUCCAGACUCCUACGGGAGGCAGCAGUGGGGAAUAUUGCACAAUGGGCGCAAGCCUGAUGCAGCCAUGCCGCGUGUAUGAAGAAGGCCUUCGGGUUGUAAAGUACUUUCAGCGGGGAGGAAGGGAGUAAAGUUAAUACCUUUGCUCAUUGACGUUACCCGCAGAAGAAGCACCGGCUAACUCCGUG
rnacentral:rRNA from 1 species